CUAGCACUUCCACAGGUCCUCCCCAGGGCAGGGGGGCCAGGAUUUGGUAGCUGGUGCUGAGAGAAGAUGCUUAAUGGCAUCUUUGCCCUGGGACUCUGCCAGUGGCAACUGUCACUCAAUGGGACAGAG